rnacentral:rRNA from 1 species
UUAAGCGACUAAGCGUACACGGUGGAUGCCCUGGCAGUCAGAGGCGAUGAAGGGCGUGCUAAUCUGCGAUAAGCGCCGGUAAGGUGAUAUGAACCGUUAUAACCGGCGAUACCCGAAUGGGGAAACCCAGUGUGAUUCGUCACACUAUCAUUAACUGAAUCCAUAGGUUAAUGAGGCGAACCGGGGGAACUGAAMCAUCUAAGUACCCCGAGGAAAAGAAAUCAACCGAGAUUCCCCCAGUAGCGGCGAGCGAACGGGGAGGAGCCCAGAGCCUGAAUCAGCAUGKGUGUUAGKGGAAGCGUCUGGAAAGGCGCGCGAUACAGGGUGACAGCCCCGUACACAAAAGCGCAUGUGCUGUGAGCUCGAUGAGUAGGGCGGGACACGUGGUAUCCUGUCUGAAUAUGGGGGGACCAUCCUCCAAGGCUAAAUACUCCUGACUGACCGAUAGUGAACCAGUACCGUGAGGGAAAGGCGAAAAGAACCCCGGCGAGGGGAGUGAAAAAGAACCUGAAACCGUGUACGUACAAGCAGUGGGAGCCCCACCACUAAGCCAGUGGUGAACUCCACAUACGCAUCCUUUGCUGAGGAUACGGUUAACGGAGCGAAAGCGACGUUCAACCUCAAAAGAAGCAGAGGGGGCUUAGUGGUGGGGUGACUGCGUACCUUUUGUAUAAUGGGUCAGCGACUUAUAUUCUGUAGCAAGGUUAACCGAAUAGGGGAGCCGGAGGGAAACCGAGUCUUAAUUGGGCGUUAAGUUGCAGGGUAUAGACCCGAAACCCGGUGAUCUAGCCAUGGGCAGGUUGAAGGUUGGGUAACACUAACUGGAGGACCGAACCGACUAAUGUUGAAAAAUUAGCGGAUGACCUGUGGCUGGGGGUGAAAGGCCAAUCAAACCGGGAGAUAGCUGGUUCUCCCCGAAAGCUAUUUAGGUAGCGCCUCGUGAAUUCAUCUCCGGGGGUAGAGCACUGUUUCGGCUAGGGGGUCAUCCCGACUUACCAACCCGAUGCAAACUGCGAAUACCGGAGAAUGUUAUCACGGGAGACACACGGCGGGUGCUAACGUCCGUCGUGAAGAGGGAAACAACCCAGACCGCCAGCUAAGGUCCCAAAGUCAUGGUUAAGUGGGAAACGAUGUGGGAAGGCACAGACAGCCAGGAUGUUGGCUUAGAAGCAGCCAUCAUUUAAAGAAAGCGUAAUAGCUCACUGGUCGAGUCGGCCUGCGCGGAAGAUGUAACGGGGCUAAACCAUGCACCGAAGCUGCGGCAGCGACACUCAGGUGUUGUUGGGUAGGGGAGCGUUCUGUAAGCCUGUGAAGGUGGCCUGUGAGGGUUGCUGGAGGUAUCAGAAGUGCGAAUGCUGACAUAAGUAACGAUAAAGCGGGUGAAAAGCCCGCUCGCCGGAAGACCAAGGGUUCCUGUCCAACGUUAAUCGGGGCAGGGUGAGUCGACCCCUAAGGCGAGGCCGAAAGGCGUAGUCGAUGGGAAACGGGUUAAUAUUCCCGUACUUGGUGUUACUGCGAAGGGGGGACGGAGAAGGCUAUGUUGGCCGGGCGACGGUUGUCCCGGUUUAAGCGUGUAGGUGUGUGUUCCAGGUAAAUCCGGUUCACUUUAACACUGAGGCGUGACGACGAGGCACUACGGUGCUGAAGCAACAAAUGCCCUGCUUCCAGGAAAAGCCUCUAAGCAUCAGGUAACAUCAAAUCGUACCCCAAACCGACACAGGUGGUCAGGUAGAGAAUACCAAGGCGCUUGAGAGAACUCGGGUGAAGGAACUAGGCAAAAUGGUGCCGUAACUUCGGGAGAAGGCACGCUGACACGUAGGYGAAGUGAUUUACUCAUGGAGCUGAAGUCAGUCGAAGAUACCAGCUGGCUGCAACUGUUUAUUAAAAACACAGCACUGUGCAAACACGAAAGUGGACGUAUACGGUGUGACGCCUGCCCGGUGCCGGAAGGUUAAUUGAUGGGGUMAGCGCAAGCGAAGCUCCUGAUCGAAGCCCCGGUAAACGGCGGCCGUAACUAUAACGGUCCUAAGGUAGCGAAAUUCCUUGUCGGGUAAGUUCCGACCUGCACGAAUGGCGUAAUGAUGGCCAGGCUGUCUCCACCCGAGACUCAGUGAAAUUGAACUCGCUGUGAAGAUGCAGUGUACCCGCGGCAAGACGGAAAGACCCCGUGAACCUUUACUAUAGCUUGACACUGAACAUUGAGCCUUGAUGUGUAGGAUAGGUGGGAGGCUUUGAAGCGUGGACGCCAGUCUGCGUGGAGCCGACCUUGAAAUACCACCCUUUAAUGUUUGAUGUUCUAACGUGGACCCGUUACCCGGGUUGCGGACAGUGUCUGGUGGGUAGUUUGACUGGGGCGGUCUCCUCCUAAAGAGUAACGGAGGAGCACGAAGGUUGGCUAAUCCUGGUCGGACAUCAGGAGGUUAGUGCAAUGGCAUAAGCCAGCUUGACUGCGAGCGUGACGGCGCGAGCAGGUGCGAAAGCAGGUCAUAGUGAUCCGGUGGUUCUGAAUGGAAGGGCCAUCGCUCAACGGAUAAAAGGUACUCCGGGGAUAACAGGCUGAUACCGCCCAAGAGUUCAUAUCGACGGCGGUGUUUGGCACCUCGAUGUCGGCUCAUCMCAUCCUGGGGCUGAAGUAGGUCCCAAGGGUAUGGCUGUUCGCCAUUUAAAGUGGUACGCGAGCUGGGUUUAGAACGUCGUGAGACAGUUCGGUCCCUAUCUGCCGUGGGCGCUGGAGAACUGAGGGGGGCUGCUCCUAGUACGAGAGGACCGGAGUGGACGCAUCACUGGUGUUCGGGUUGUCAUGCCAAUGGCACUGCCCGGUAGCUAAAUGCGGAAGAGAUAAGUGCUGAAAGCAUCUAAGCACGAAACUUGCCCCGAGAUGAGUUCUCCCUGAGACUUAGAGUCUCCUGAAGGAACGUUGAAGACGACGACGUUGAUAGGCCGGGUGUGUAAGCGCAGCGAUGCGUUGAGCUAACCGGUACUAAUGAACCGUGAGGCUUAACCUU